UCCCUGGUAGUCCAGUGGUUAGACCCUGUGCUUCCAAUGCAGGGGGCACAGGUUCGAUGCCUGGUCUGGGAA
rnacentral:tRNA from 1 species